GGUUGUGUAGUGUAGUGGUUAUCACUCUGGAUUUUGAACGCGUUGAUUCAUGACCUUUCCAGUAACCCCGGUUCGAACCCGGGCACGACCU